GACGAACGCUGGCGGCGUGCUUAACACAUGCAAGUCGAACGGAAAGGCCCUGCUUUUGUGGGGUGCUCGAGUGGCGAACGGGUGAGUAACACGUGAGUAACCUGCCCUUGACCUUGGGAUAACUUCAGGAAACUGGGGCUAAUACCGGAUAGGAGCUCCUGCUGCAUGGUGGGGGUUGGAAAGUUUGGCGGUUGGGGAUGGACUCGCGGCUUAUCAGCUUGUUGGUGGGGUAGUGGCUUACCAAGGCUUUGACGGGUAGCCGGCCUGAGAGGGUGACCGGCCACAUUGGGACUGAGAUACGGCCCAGACUCCUACGGGAGGCAGCAGUGGGGAAUAUUGCACAAUGGGCGGAAGCCUGAUGCAGCAACGCCGCGUGCGGGAUGACGGCCUUCGGGUUGUAAACCGCUUUCGCCUGUGACGAAGCGUGAGUGACGGUAAUGGGUAAAGAAGCACCGGCUAACUACGUG
rnacentral:rRNA from 1 species